AAGUGUUACAGCUCUUGUAGAAUUUGUCUAGCAGGUUUUCUGGUUCCCACCAGAAAAAUUCCUAA